rnacentral:rRNA from 1 species
UACGUAGGGUGCAAGCGUUAAUCGGAAUUACUGGGCGUAAAGCGUGCGCAGGCGGUUAUGCAAGACAGAGGUGAAAUCCCCGGGCUCAACCUGGGAAUGGCAAUGGAGACUGCAAGGCUAGAGUUUGGCAGAGGGGGGUAGAAUUCCACGUGUAGCAGUGAAAUGCGUAGAUAUGUGGAGGAACACCGAUGGCGAAGGCAGCCCCCUGGGUCAAAACUGACGCUCAUGCACGAAAGCGUGGGGAGCAAACAGG